rnacentral:lncRNA from 1 species
CUGCAGAAGAAAGCUUACUCCUUGUUGCCCGAAGAUGCCAGCCUCUCUGGGUUGCCUUUGAAUCAAGAUGCAGAACUCUCGGCUACUUCUCUAGCAUCAUGUCUGCCUGGAUGCUGGCUCCCUACCACGAUGAUAGUGGACUAAACCUUUGAACCUGUAAGCCAGACCCAAUUAAAUGUUUGCCUUUAUAAGAGUUGACUUGGUCAUGAUGUCUCCUCACAGCAAUGGACAUACUAAACAGGAGACUUGCCUAAAAUCAGUUUAAAGUAGAGCAUGUGGUAAGAAGUCCUUAAAGGAAGAAAACAAACGGACAAACAAACCAACAAACCGACAACCCCCCAGGCUCCAGGUUACUUCUGCCUGCCGUCAACAACUGAGCUUUGACCAUCUGAGGACUAAAUGUGGAUGGAAGGGUUUAAAUCGGGAAGGAGAAGAAUGAAGUAAAGAAAUAAAACUACAGCUUCCAAAAGUCUCCAUGAAACAAUUUGUUUUGUUUUUGUUUUUGUUUUUUUUUUAAAUCCAAACUAAGCAAAACCCGUUCCCGUGUUUAGCGCGCCAUCUCCUGGUCAUGAGGUCGAAUGGUCCUGAAGGGAAAGAACAGAGGACGUGGGCGCAGACCCAGCUGGCUGUUUGUUCAUCUGCACUCACAGUUUUCCACUCUAGCCGCUGUGACAGAUUACUGAUAGAAGGAUCUCAAGGGAGGACAGACUUACUUCUGGACCCAAGGAAUACAGUUUCAUGACAGGGGAGGCAUGGCCUCUGGGAUGAUUCUGUUGCUAUGGGAGCUUGCUGUGGUGGCUUCUCCCAGCCAGGCAAUACAUCCACAGCCUCUGCCACAGGACUUUUAGCUAGGGAGUGAGAAUUCAAAUGCAAAAGCCUAUGGACGCCGUUUCACACUCAGACAACGAGCGAGCAUCAGUCUGUGCGCCCAUAGUCCCCUUCAACACCCAAUUACCUUUCUAGAAAUUCCUUCCCUCGAGUCCUCGUGACAGUUCUCCACGCUCCAAAGGCAGCGCCUCGAUUUAGAAUUCCAAUUCAGAAUUCCUUGGAACUGAACGUUUCUCCUGGAAUUUAUUAACAAUGUCUUUUGUUUGCUCACGGGUGCCAGCCUUUGUGAGUGUUGCUUAGGAUACCCGAGAGCUUAUGCGUAUCGGGUGUCUCUGCCUUUCUUCCACUUCCUGUCUUGUCUCCAUCUCUUCUUCCUCCUCGUUUUUGGGGUUUUAUGGUUGAUCCCAGGGUUGUGCCCGUGUUUGGGAAGUAGCAGUACGCACUCUUUGCCCUGGAUGUUUUGGAAGAGUGGUAUAUCAGCUCCUCCAGGACAAGGAUCCUGUCUCUGCGGCUCUGCUCAGUUCUUCCCUCACGUCAGGGGAGAGCUCAGUGAAUUCAAUUUUAGGAAGAAAAAAACAUGAUAGAAUAGACAGUUAAAGAAAUGAAAAGAAUGAAUUGAAUGAAUUGUUAGUUGACUACUUAGUAAAUAGACUUUUAUGACUGGGAGAAUUCUGAAGACCAGUAUAUUUGGGUAGCUCAGUAGGCUUGUGGGUUCACCAAAACGUUCACAGGAAGAGCCCCAGGAUGCUUCAUCAACUCUUCUCUACCUAGUGCAAUCCUAAGCCUCAUGAUAUGAUGGGAAGAUGCCUGUAAGGCAGCUGGGACUCUAACAUCCUAGGCAAGAACGUGUGGUUAGAAACUAUCAAGAGAACAUUAAAGCUAAAUAUUCCAAAGACUGGAACGUUUGAACACUUCUUAUUAGAUUGUUGAGGGGCCAUGAAGUAUGGAGGACACUUGGUUAUCCAGAGGACACAAAAAUGUGAUGUCUGGGUGAGAGGAGGGGACAGAGCGCGUUGUGAAAGAGCAGCCUAGGAUUAGGGCUUGGCUAUCCUCCAAGUUGGUGGCUUACCUAGGGGACCAAAGCAGAGAAGUCACAAGUGUGAGAGUAGCCUGGGCUGCAGAGCCAGAGUUUGUCUUUAUAAAGAAUGCUGCAUUUGCUAGCCGUGGAUUAUCUUGGCUGCUGGAGAGGGCUCGCUCUCUUAGGAGCACUGGGAGGCCAUGAGCUUGAUUUGAGAGGCUGAGGCUGUGCAGCACUUCCUCUCCUCCCACCCCUCACCCCAGGCAGGCACCCACUGUCCUUGUGCCAGCUCUGGUUCACAGGUGUGCUCAACAGGCCUAGAUGGUGAUGAUUUUCAAUUUGGAACGAUAGGAAUUGGACAGUGUAUGUGUGUGUUUCAGUUGGCUGGCACAGAAGAGUUCCUAAAGUUUCUGAGUGUGUUAAUCAAAAAACAACAAGGACUAGGCUCUUAGCAUGCCUGGACUGAAAAUAUACAAGAAGAUAAAGUAUAUUUUCAAUUAAUAAAUAUUGAUAAGUAUCAG